AACGAACGCUGGCGGCAGGCUUAACACAUGCAAGUCGAGCGCCCCGCAAGGGGAGCGGCAGACGGGUGAGUAACGCGUGGGAAUCUACCCAUCUCUACGGAAUAACGCAUGGAAGCGUGUGCUAAUACCGUAUACGUCCUUCGGGAGAAAGGUUUAUCGGAGAUGGAUGAGCCCGCGUUGGAUUAGCUAGUUGGUGGGGUAAAGGCCUCCCAAGGCGACGAUCCAUAGCUGGUCUGAGAGGAUGAUCAGCCACACUGGGACUGAGACACGGCCCAGACUCCUACGGGAGGCAGCAGUGGUGAAUAUUGUACAAUGGGCGGAAGUCUGAUCCAGCCAUGCCGCGUGAGUGAUGAAGGCCCUAGGGUUGUAAAGCUCUUUCACCGGUGAAGAUAAUGACGGUAACCGGAGAAGAAGCCCCGGCUAACUUCGUGCCAGCCGCCGCGGUAAGAC
rnacentral:rRNA from 1 species